rnacentral:rRNA from 1 species
UACGUAGGGUGCGAGCGUUGCCCGGAUUUAUUGGGCGUAAAGGGCGCGUAGGCGGCCACGCACGUCCGUUGUGAAAUCGCCCGGCUCAACUGGGCGGGGUCAGCGGAUACGGUGUGGCUAGAGCAAGCUAGGGGGCAAUGGAAUUCCCGGUGUAGUGGUGGAAUGCGUAGAUAUCGGGAGGAACACCAGUGGCGAAGGCGGCUGCCUGGAGCUUUGCUGACGCUGAUGCGCGAAAGCGUGGGGAGCGAUCCGG